UACGGAGGAUGCAAGCGUUAUCCGGAUUUAUUGGGUUUAAAGGGUGCGCAGGCGGACCGGUAAGUCAGGGGUGAAACUUUACAGCUUAACUGUAAACGUGCCUUUGAUACUGCCGGACUAGAGUUUAAGAGACGUAAUUGGAAUGUGAUGUGUAGCGGUGAAAUGCUUAGAUAUAUCACAGAACGCCGAUCGUGAAGACAGAUUACGAACUUAAUACUGACGCUCAUGCACGAAAGCGUGGGGAUCAAACAGGAUUAGAUACC
rnacentral:rRNA from 1 species